rnacentral:lncRNA from 1 species
CAGGAAUUUCAGCCAUUCCGGGAUGAAAGCCUCCUGAAAGGAAUCUCUUUCCCUGUGGGACUGCCCAGCUUUCAGCCCUGCUUCUGGGGGAAGAGUUCACCAGAGGACACCUCAUGUAUUUGGAACCAAACGUGCCAUGAAGUGCAGGACUGCUGGAGCCUGUGGGGCUGGAGCAGGUGCUGACGUUGGCCAGGCUGGUGGGACCCCAGGAGGAGAACUCUGAGCCAAUUCCCUUCCCUAUGGCCAGGAAUGGGAUCCCCCACGUUCUCCUCCCAGUCUGAGAAGACAAGAAAAUAAACAAGGAAAAUGUCUGUGCUGAUGGCA